rfam:Phycisphaerae bacterium SM1_79 WOR1_30_36_5274, whole genome shotgun sequence.
GCGGGUGUAGCAUAGUGGUAAUGCACCGGCCUUCCAAGCCGGCUACGAGGGUUCGAUCCCCUUCACCCGCU